AUUGAACGCUGGCAGCAGGCUUAACACAUGCAAGUCGAGCGGAGAUGAGGUGCUUGCACCUUAUCUUAGCGGCGGACGGGUGAGUGAUGCUUAGGAAUCUGCCUAUUAGUGGGGGACAACAUUCCGAAAGGAAUGCUAAUACCGCAUACGUCCUACGGGAGAAAGCAGGGGAUCUUCGGACCUUGCGCUAAUAGAUGAGCCUAAGUCGGAUUAGCUAGUUGGUGGGGUAAAGGCCUACCAAGGCGACGAUCUGUAGCGGGUCUGAGAGGAUGAUCCGCCACACUGGGACUGAGACACGGCCCAGACUCCUACGGGAGGCAGCAGUGGGGAAUAUUGGACAAUGGGGGGAACCCUGAUCCAGCCAUGCCGCGUGUGUGAAGAAGGCCUUAUGGUCGUAAAGCACUUUAAGCGAGGAGGAGGCUACUGAGACUAAUACUCUUGGAUAGUGGACGUUACUCGCAGAAUAAGCACCGGCUAACUCUGUGCCAGCCGCCGCAGUAA
rnacentral:rRNA from 1 species